rnacentral:rRNA from 1 species
AUUAUUGGGCGUAAAGGGCUCGCAGGCGGUUUCUUAAGUCUGAUGUGAAAGCCCCCGGCUCAACCGGGGAGGGUCAUUGGAAACUGGGGAACUUGAGUGCAGAAGAGGAGAGUGGAAUUCCACGUGUAGCGGUGAAAUGCGUAGAGAUGUGGAGGAACACCAGUGGCGAAGGCGACUCUCUGGUCUGUAACUGACGCUGAGGAGCGAAAGCGUGGGGAGCGAACAGGAUUAGAUACCCUGGUAGUCCACGCCGUAAACGAUGAGUGCUAAGUGUUAGGGGGUUUCCGCCCCUUAGUGCUGCAGCUAACGCAUUAAGCACUCCGCCUGGGGAGUACGGUCGCAAGACUGAAACUCAAAGGAAUUGACGGGGGCCCGCACAAGCGGUGGAGCAUGUGGUUUAAUUCGAAGCAACGCGAAGAACCUUACCAGGUCUUGACAUCCUCUGACAAUCCUAGAGAUAGGACGUCCCCUUCGGGGGCAGAGUGACAGGUGGUGCAUGGUUGUCGUCAGCUCGUGUCGUGAGAUGUUGGGUUAAGUCCCGCAACGAGCGCAACCCUUGAUCUUAGUUGCCAGCAUUCAGUUGGGCACUCUAAGGUGACUGCCGGUGACAAACCGGAGGAAGGUGGGGAUGACGUCAAAUCAUCAUGCCCCUUAUGACCUGGGCUACACACGUGCUACAAUGGACAGAACAAAGGGCAGCGAAACCGCGAGGUUAAGCCAAUCCCACAAAUCUGUUCUCAGUUCGGAUCGCAGUCUGCAACUCGACUGCGUGAAGCUGGAAUCGCUAGUAAUCGCGGAUCAG